UAAAAUGACUCUCGGCAACGGAUAUCUCGGCUCUCGCAUCGAUGAAGAACGUAGCGAAAUGCGAUACUUGGUGUGAAUUGCAGAAUCCCGUGAACCAUCGAGUUUUUGAACGCAAGUUGCGCCCGAAGCCUUUUGGCCAGGGCACGUCUGCCUGGGCGUCACGC
rnacentral:rRNA from 1 species